rnacentral:sRNA from 1 species
GCGCGGGGCGGUGCCGCGCGGCGGAGGGAGCCGCGAUGGAGGGCGCUCCGACUGUCCGCCAGGUGAUGAAUGAAGGGGAUUCAAGCCUUGCCACCGAGUUACAGGAAGAUGUAGAGGAAAAUCCUAGUCCAACUGUGGAAGAGAAUAAUGUGGUAGUUAAAAAACAGGGGCCAAAUUUACAUAAUUGGAGUGGUGACUGGAGCUUUUGGAUUUCAAGUUCCACCUAUAAAGACAGGAAUGAGGAAUACAGAAGACAGUUCACACAUCUGCCUGAUACAGAGAGGCUGAUAGCAGAUUAUGCUUGUGCUCUUCAGAGGGACAUUUUGCUUCAGGGACGACUAUACCUUUCAGAAAACUGGCUAUGUUUCUAUAGCAACAUCUUCAGAUGGGAAACUACAAUUUCUAUUGCUUUAAAGAAUAUAACCUUCAUGACCAAGGAGAAAACUGCUCGACUCAUCCCAAAUGCUAUCCAGAUAGUUACAGAAAGUGAAAAGGGAUAGAAGUUACCUCAGUAUCUUUAGGUUGUGGCAGAAUGUAUUAUUAGAUAAGAGCCUGACUAGACAG